rnacentral:rRNA from 1 species
CCUACGGGCGGCAGCAGUAGGGAAUCUUCCACAAUGGGCGAAAGCCUGAUGGAGCAACGCCGCGUGGGUGAAGAAGGUCUUCGGAUCGUAAAACCCUGUUGUUAGAGAAGAAAGUGCGUGAGAGUAACUGUUCACGUUUCGACGGUAUCUAACCAGAAAGCCACGGCUAACUACGUGCCAGCAGCCGCGGUAAUACGUAGGUGGCAAGCGUUAUCCGGAUUUAUUGGGCGUAAAGGGAACGCAGGCGGUCUUUUAAGUCUGAUGUGAAAGCCUUCGGCUUAACCGGAGUAGUGCAUUGGAAACUGGGAGACUUGAGUGCAGAAGAGGAGAGUGGAACUCCAUGUGUAGCGGUGAAAUGCGUAGAUAUAUGGAAGAACACCAGUGGCGAAAGCAGCUCUCUGGGCUGUAACUGACGCUGAGGUUCGAAAGCGUGGGUAGCAAACAGGAUUAGAUACCCGAGUAGUC